rnacentral:rRNA from 1 species
ACUGAAUUUCAACAAUGAAGCGAGUGGCGAACUGGUGAGUAACACGUGGGGAAUCUGCCCAGAAGCAGGGGAUAACACUUGGAAACAGGUGCUAAUACCGUAUAACAACAAAAUCCGCAUGGAUUUUGUUUAAAAGAUGGCUCUGCUAUCACUUCUGGAUGGACCCGCGGCGUAUUAGCUAGUUGGUGAGGUAAAGGCCCACCAAGACGAUGAUACGUAGCCGACCUGAGAGGGUAAUCGGCCACAUUGGGACUGAGACACGGCCCAAACUCC